rnacentral:rRNA from 1 species
GACGAACGCUGGCGGCGUGCUUAACACAUGCAAGUCGAACGGUGAAGGUGGAGCUUGCUCCGCCGGAUCAGUGGCGAACGGGUGAGUAACACGUGGGCAACCUGCCCCUGACUUCGGGAUAACUCCUCGAAAGAGGUGCUAAUACCGGAUACGAAUCCUGCAGGCAUCUGCGGGAUUGGAAAGUUUUUCGGUCAGGGAUGGGCCCGCGGCCUAUCAGCUUGUUGGUGAGGUAGUGGCUCACCAAGGCGACGACGGGUAGCCGGCCUGAGAGGGCAACCGGCCACACUGGGACUGAGACACGGCCCAGACUCCUACGGGAGGCAGCAGUGGGGAAUAUUGCGCAAUGGGUGAAAGCCUGACGCAGCAACGCCGCGUGAGGGAUGACGGCCUUCGGGUUGUAAACCUCUUUCAGCAGGGAAGAAGCGAAAGUGACGGUACCUGCAGAAGAAGCACCGGCUAACUACGUGCCAGCCGCCGCGGUAA